UAAACAUACACGUUCUUACUCUAAACUGUUAGAGACUCUUUCGUCCGUCAUAGCUGGAUAUCGAUAUUAGAUCGAUAUCCAUAUUUAAUAAAUCAUUUGGCUCCGGUUUUGUUUGCGGUUUAGAAGCGGCACGGUGGUUUGCAGUUGGAGGCAUCGGCCGCAAGUUUUGGUGGCCGGGUGAUCCCGUUUCAGACCGCGGAGUACGGUAAAAACCAAGUCCCUAGCUGCGGAGGAGUGAGGCGGGUUCGUGAGCUCGGAGCUACCCCCAUCCCGGAGGGAUUCGCGUUGUGCCUCGGCCCAGCUCCGCCGGAUUUGUGAAUAUUCAGCACAAGGAAUAGAAGAUACAGGGAGCGGGAAGCCAGCUCGAGGGAACUUCCCUGUCCAAGAGGGAGCUGUGACUGCCACCCGCCGGUUGUGCUCUGUUGUGGAGCUUGCCAAGAGUUGAGGGUUGGACGAGUAUUUGGGUGGAGGAUACCUCGAAGGGGAAUUUGUGAUCUUUGUCGUACAGAGGAACAAAAAGCUACCCAGAUAACUAUACGGGUUUUAUUGGUUUUAACCAA